rnacentral:tRNA from 1 species
GGGACUACUAAGGUUAGCUAGGGAACUUCUAAUUCUCAAACACCAGUUCAAUCCUGGUUAGUUCCA